CCCCUCUCAGGAUGGCAUCUGGAGAGUUUUCAGUACUCUACCAGUCUCUGCUAUGGAGGGAGAGUCAGGAAGAGGCCUACCCAUUCCAUUCCUAGCUUGGGCAGCAGCUAGUGAGGGGAAGGUGAUCUGCUACAAGU